UUUUAACAGUUUACACAUCAAACGAUUAAUUGACAGUGGUGGAAAGAAACUAUGUACAUUUACCCAAGUACUGUACUUAAAGCAACUACAAGGAACUUUCAUUUUGCUUUGAUUCCGGCGCCCCCUGUGGACAAAAGCGGUAGCGUUUCCACCACCGCAUGUCGUAAAGAUCUUGAUCUGGCUAGCAUGUGUAUUAGCGCGUGUAUUAUUUUGGAAACGAGUGAAAGAAUGACACAACUUAUUUUCAAUACUAUUUUUCUUUAUUAAACACAGCUGUUUGCAGGAUGCAUAGAUGAGGCGUGGAUCCAGUUCCCUUCAGCCCCGCGGGUCAGGUCACAGACCGGUCUGUCCCAGCCAAGGUGAAACCUGUGAGCUUCGCUUUUUCUGCAUUUGUAGUGACAUCGAUGUCCACUCUGGGAGUCUCGUACUCUGUGCAGCCUCUGAAGUACCAAAGGUAGAUGUAAUCACCUUUUGCUCCAGCGCUGAGGUCUUUAGGGAUCUUUGUGUCGAUCAGUCCAACACCCGUGUCAUCGCUGAAUGUGACUUGAACCCUGGUGACUGGUGCUGAGUUUCUUUCUUUUUUUUUCAAGUUUCCUCUUGCCCCUUUGUUGCUCGUCAGCUUCCUCAAGGGACGCAUCAAGGUGUGAGAUGUAGCUGGCCAUUGUAGAUAACUGCAUACAAGGAAGAUAAAACAUGAGGAAACAGAAUAGGGCUUUUUUGUUUGCAUAUUACAGAUUUCAUCAGUGAUUUUGUAACUUUUUUUCCUGCUGUUUUUAGCCAGACUAGCAACGUUGCUUGAGGAAUGACAAUGUUGGUCAGUCUACUAACUGUUGGAUCGAUUGCCGUGAAAUUGUGUACAGACAUGUGUUGGAUAGAUUGCCGUGAAAUGUGGCAUAGACGCUCAUGUUCCCCAUAGGCUGAACUGUAAUAACUUUUGCUGACUUUUCAUCUAGCGCCAUCAUCGGGUCAAAACUUUAAUUUGUUUAACACCUUGGUUUUUGUGCAAAACUAAUGACACACUAAUGAUUGGCUGAUUCUUUUUUUUUUUUCAUUCACUGCAUAUCAUCACUGUUGAAAUACAAUAUUGCUUCGUAGAUUAUUAAUCUAUUCAGGGUCUUAGUAACCGUGGGUUACAUAAACAUCAGCCUGAUUAAUCUUAAUGACUCACCGAAAUUCAACUCAUUUUAUCAAGUGGGUGAAAUCAUUUAGUAACUUCCUUAAUGAACUAGGCCUUUCAAAACAUUUGGUUUAUAUAAAAUGCAUUUACAUAUGAAUUUGUUUACAUGCAUUUGAACACAAAAUGAUAAAUUAACUAACCAAAUCAUGUGCAUAAGCACCAUCUGGUGUGCACACAGAGUAGUGGUCCCUCACAUGGAGAUGUGGUUAAUUAUAAAGGUUUAGUAUUUUGUAUGAUUUCUUUGGGUAUAAAGCACCUUUAUUGUAAUGAUUUCCACUCGACACUGUACUCUCUAAAGCAAAGACACCUCUCGUUUCUUUAGUGACUAAGGAACAGGAGAAGGUGUUGCUCUAUAGUUUUUCCUGUUUUCUUUUCUAUUCACAGAAACUAUUUUUACCUUCAGCAGUGAGCAGAGGUUAUGUGAUCACCUCCGUCCAUCCUUCUGUUCUUCAGUCCUUCUGUCCAGCCGUGUCCGUCUGUUUUUUGUCGCGUUUGUAUGUCUGUGACCAACAUAUCUCAGAAUAUACUGACUGGACUGAUGUGAAAUUUAAUGCACACAUUUAUGCUCCCAAGAGAAAGAACGUAUUGAUUUUGUUGAACACAUAGACUUUAUGCACCACCAAACUUUCAUUUUCAGAGUUUGUCUCCUGACACAUUAGUCAUUAAUGCACCGAAGAGGAAUAAAAGCUAUUCAAUUUGGAUACACGAUGACCUUUCCACGAGACCACCAUCAGGCCAAAUUUCGGCAUCUACCCUGUACAGUGUUGGCUGAUUCCACUGUGGUAAGUGCUAACGUACUGAAAACUUUGUCUUUUGUUUUACAAUUUGGGAAAUACGCCUAUUCGCUUUUUUGCUGAUGAGAAAAUCAAUACCACUUUCAGUAUUGAUCUUCUCAUCUGAUUCUCAGCAAGAAAGUGAAUAAGCGUGUUUCGUUGACAUGUUCUAAUACAAAUUUGGUCUCUUUUAACCCAUUUAAACCCAAUAUGUCGGGAAAUAAGAAGCUUCCAGAGUACAAAGUGGGAAGAACACCCAAAACACACCAGAAAAUUAAGAUUUUAUUAUUUAUCCUGAACAUGUGAGUGCUGCUUCAUUCCAUCAGAAUACUGUGUCACAACAACAAAAACAAAGUAAAAUAAUAGAUUGGAUAAAUACUUUUGAGUCAGUCUUAUUUAUUAUGAGAAAAGGAAUGUGUACCCUAAAUAGCAAGAGCGGUUCAGCAGUAAAGACUCCUAGAUUACAUUUUUUCAGUCGAAUUGAUAAAUUAUGCAGAAAUAAAACACAUUUUGGUACUUCUUAAAGGCCCUGAAAACGUAUUUUCUCAAUCAGUUUCUCGCUAUGAGCCAACAGCUUUGGCUACAUGUACAGAUGCGUUAAGUGGUGUUUCUCUGUAAAUAUCCCCCUGGACCUUAGAGAGAGACAAAAGCCUCCCGACUCACAGGAGCAAUAAAGACAGACACGGGUGCAACUAGGGUUUAUUACUUUUAAUCAGUUCAGCUAGCUACAAAAUGUCCACCACUUCACACACUGACAGGAUACAGAGAGGGAGUCUUUAAUAUUACAUGCGUUGAGGACAUCAAUCUCACGGUUUAACCAAUUGUGUCAUUCAGGUUUAGGUAUUUAAUCACCUUACUCUUACUACUUGACAUUUUGGCGUUGGUGUGCAUAGCUCUAAAGUACAUAAGCAACAAAAAAAACCCCUUUUGUAUGUAUUUUUUAGUUUCAGAGUAUAGUUAUUGUUAUUCACUGUUAUUAUUAUUUUUACCAAUAACAAACCACACGGGGAGAAUAAACUUACAGAUACAGUCUUCUUAUAAAAGUAAGGUCUCUCAGAAAGAUGCAUCUUUGCUUUACAUUGCAAACGUUUAUUUUAUUUUUUUCAGAGCAUCCAAAACCUAUGUUACAGUACACAACCAGUCCUCAUCUUUCAGCACAUAAUCAACAUCUUCAUCAUUGAACUGCAUAAUCAUUUAGAAAAGGUCAUUUUUGCAAUACAACCCCAAGUCCUCAUAUUUUUUUCAUCUUUAUUUCACUUUUUUGAUCCCUUUAGCAUUAUUUUACAACGAGAUG